GCCGUGCGGCUGCGGCAUCGGCGGCACGUCAUCGAAACGAAACUUGUGCGGCUGGCAGUUGGUGCAACAGUGGACAGUGCGGCGAAGAUGAAUCGCUCAGCCUAGAACAGGAAUCAUCACAUCGACGGGUGCUUCGUUUUGACGUUGGUCUUGCUCUGCACGGAUCGUGUCUAUUUUCUUAGUCUACAUUCAGCAUCGUUUACAAGGCUCGGCAAGGCUGGCGUGGGUUCCGCAGUGCUCGGGCAGCAACGGGAACCAGCGUCGUGCUGAGAAGUUACGGAAGCAAUUUCUCUUGAGGCUUGCAUCACCGGCCGCGCGGCCGAUUGCACCCGCACAACCCGGCUGCGGCUCGCCUCCAGCUUCCGACCCCAUCGUUCCUGCUCAGUUGUGACAACCCUGUUUUGGUGCGCGACUUCAACGACUGUCAUGGUGAAGCAGGCCAAUAACAGGAGUGUGUGGCCUAUCGGCCACCGAUCUGUACCAACCAGACUGUACGGACCACCGAUUUCUUCUCCUUGCAUGUUCAGGUUGGUCCAAUACUCUCGUAAAAUUGUAAAG